CAACUUGGAAAAUCAAGAAAUUCUCCUUUGUACGGAAAUGAUUGAUCAUUCCGAGUCUGGAGCACGAGAUUACUCUCUGUCGAAAAGCGACCAAUCGCCCAUUCAUAGCGAUCAAUUGCCUGACCCACCUGAUCCAUGCGAAGAUAUUUCUGAUCCGAGUCUCACACCUACAGACAAUACAGAACAACAAGAUGAAGACCCCCC
rnacentral:lncRNA from 1 species